UAGAACGGGAAAGAAAGAAAUAAUGAAAAAAGAAAAAAGAGGGGGAAAUAAAUAUGUACAGCAUACAAAAAUACUAUCGAAGGAAAGCCGAGCGUUUAACGCGUAUCUAUUCUCGCUAGAAUUCUUCGAAGAUGUGCCACAUUGACAAAUACGCGCGUUCGACUCGACGCAAUGUAGCCUCGUUUGCCGUUAAUGGGCAAGAUAUGUUUUCGAAUCUAAAGCUUAAUCGGACUUCUAGUCUGCAGUAAUAUCUGGUUCAUACGACCUAUACGUGUAGCGAAAUCAAACCGAUAAGACGGUUGCCUUUAAGAAAAUUUGCACGAUCCAAGUACACGGUUCAAUUAGAUCGUAGACUUUCGCGCAUUAAUUAACCGUAAGGCGGUGGCCGCUUCUGAAAUGGAAAUCUGCCGAGUUGAAUUUUAAAAGAAAAAUGCGAUUCGUAAUUCGACUUUAUUGUAUAUAACUCGGUUAUAUCGCUUCCUCUUGUGGAAUGGAAAGGCAAGAAGAUCCACGAAGCGUAAUUUACGAUCGACAAUGAGAAAUAGAGCUCGAUAAAAGAAAUAAGGAAAAUGUGGAAGGGGGAUAGCGAGGGGGAGAGAAACGAAAGAAACAAAACUUAAGUCGGAUCUAUUUGGUUCGUGCCCCAAGUUGCUUCGAACAAAACGUGAUCGAGGCCUUACUUUCGAAGUUGUCUGCAGAGGAUAUGUAUGGUCGAUCGGGCUGCAUGUGCUUCGGUCGCUUUCCUAACGACGAGACAUGCUUUUACCAACGAUGAUACUUUUAUGUGCACGUGACGUGCUGUUUUCAUUGACGCAUUACUGAACUCUGAUUGUUAUGAUCAGCGCGUCCCAUGUUCAUACAUAUAUAUGUAUAAAUAUUACUAAAAAAAAAUGAUAGUCUUUGGUUUCGUAUAAAGGAUAAGAUACGUAUCCUUACAAAGGACAAAGAAGAAAGAGAAGGAAGAAGAAGGUGAAGAAGUUACAACAAUUCGGUUCUUUCGGAAUGCACUUCGUUUUCGUUUCGAUGUUAUAGGUUAAGAAGUUUGAAACGAAAGUUGAAGGUUUCGUUUCAAAAAAAUUCAGCGUAAUUAUCACACUAAAUAUUCUUAAGUAACAUUCUUGAAUAAUCGUUGAUGAAACCAGAAGUUAACAGAUCUCGACAACGUCCUAUUUUUGUUUAAUGGAAAAAUCUUUUAAGUUUGAAAAGAAACAACCAAGCCACUAACGAAGUCGUAAGUCGUCAUAUAUGAAGGAACACGUUUAAGAACCGGAAAUAUAAAGUAUACCGUGGCUUCGAGUCAAUUUUACUUUCACAGCAACGUAUUAUUUCAAUACUACGCUUCAUCGUGGAAUCAAUUACUUUCAUAGAACUAAAUCUAUAAUUAAUUUACUCUGUCGCAUAAAAAUCCAUUCUGAUUUUGUAUAUAGCAGCAUCGAUGUUUCGUUUCUGUAUAACUACUUUUACACCCGUACGAAAGGAAGGAAGCUACAUCGUAGGUAAAUAUAAUGGGAAAACAAAUAUACGAUAUAAAUUUAUGUAUGCAACUUUUCAAAAGGAAUCGCUUGGUUUUCAUAGCGAAUUACAUCGUUUCUUUUUGUUUCUUCGUAACAAAGUCGCGCGAUCGUUGAUAUUAAAUCGUUCUCAAAAAAAAGAAAAAGAGCGCACUGAAGUAUAAACGAUGUAAAGAAAGAAACCGGUCUUCAAUUUUACACGUAAUAACUUUACAAAUCAAUAUGAUUAACUCAGAAGUUUGAAAUAUAAUUAAAAAUGAAUUCACCCAACUCCCUCUCCGCCCAACUUCGACGAAAACAGCGAAAACACGUAUUAACUUUCUUUCCACGGAACAACGAAUGAAUUAGGAUGUUCCUCGUGUAAAUUGUUCUGCCCUAUAUGGAAGUACGAAAAACGAUGCAGAACUUAAAAUCGGUGAAAUAUCGUGCGUUUCUUUAGCGAGUAGAGAAUCGGUAACUUUGAAAGUGCUCGACCACAUCAAUAGAUUCUUUUAUAUACUCAUUGCACUUUCUCCGCUCAUUUGUUUUCCAAAAACGUACGACCAAGGUUAUCGACAUACUUUUCAAGAGAACUAAAUCUUAAGAGAAUAAACUUUGCAAAACACUUUUGUUGCAUGUAUUUAUAAAACUAUAGUAAUAAAAAUUGCAAUCCGUAUCCCUAUGCUCAACGUGAAAGGAAAGCGAAAUGAGAAUUAUGCAAUUGAGACAUUUUAUAAUAUAUGCAUGAUUUAUUAAUGUAUUGAAACAAUAUUAUUAAAUGAAUAUUCAUAGAAAUGCAUCUCUGCAUCUUUUGUAUAACUUGCAAUAUAAGUUUUAAUUGCUACACCUAGAGAUAAAGUAAAAUCACAUCAUAAUCAUAAUACGAUAUAGGUAUUAUAUUGUGAAAAUAUUUUACUUUCUAUCACGUUUAAUUAUUAGUGACGUCUUCUUCUUCUAAUUUUCGAAGCAUUGCCGAAUUUUCAAAAAUAUUAACUAAGAUAAUUUAUAUUAACGCAUGUAUAUAGUUCAUAGAUAUGGCAAAAAAUAUCACCGA